rnacentral:lncRNA from 10 species
CGCACCCACUGACCUGCGCCCACUGUCUGGCACUCCCUAGUGAGAUGAACCCAGUACCUCAGAUGGAAAUGCAGAAAUCACCUGUCUUCUGCGUGGCUCACGCUGGGAGCUGUAGACCUGAGCUGUUCCUAUUCGGCCAUCUUGGCUCCUCCCCACCCUAGUCUGUACUAAAGACAUUAAGUCCAUAAAUUUACUGAAUGACAUCACUGAAUGCCCAAUGAGAGGCAUCAGAAGACCAGAGCCUUGACAUAUUUCUGGAACAUGGAGAAAGGUGGGACCAUAUUGAUGGACAAUAUAGAAUGGAGAGAGCCACAUCUCAGGACAUGCACAGUGUGCUGCAGAAGAGUUGCUGAGCAUUUGGGUUCAUUCAAUUUUUGGAUAUUAUGAAUUAUAUCGCUAUGAACAUUAAUGUACAGGUUUCUGUGUGGACAUUUGUUUUCAUUCGUUUUGGGUAGCAGUGGAAUUGCCAGGCCAUAGGUAAGUCAAUGCUUACAUUUUAAGGAAUGUAUUUGUUGUCCUGUAUUUACUCAUUAAAGAACAUAAUAGUUAAACAAAAAGGAAAGGAGGGAAUUCGUUUUUCCUCUGAGACUAAUGCCAUGCCUUUAACAGUUAAUCCCAUCAUUGUGUUACGGCCUA